CUACGGGCGCUCCAGUGGGGAAUAUUGCACAAUGGGCGCAAGCCUGAUGCAGCCAUGCCGCGUGUAUGAAGAAGGCCUUCGGGUUGUAAAGUACUUUCAGCGGGGAGGAAGGGAGUAAAGUUAAUACCUUUGCUCAUUGACGUUACCCGCAGAAGAAGCACCGGCUAACUCCGUGCCAGCAGCCGCGGUAAUACGGAGGGUGCAAGCGUUAAUCGGAAUUACUGGGCGUAAAGCGCACGCAGGCGGUUUGUUAAGUCAGAUGUGAAAUCCCCGGGCUCAACCUGGGAACUGCAUCUGAUACUGGCAAGCUAGAGUCUCGUAGAGGGGGGUAGAAUUCCAGGUGUAGCGGUGAAAUGCGUAGAGAUCUGGAGGAAUACCGGUGGCGAAGGCGGCCCCCUGGACGAAGACUGACGCUCAGGUGCGAAAGCGUGGGGAGCAAACAGGAUUAGAUACCCCCGUAGUC
rnacentral:rRNA from 1 species